rnacentral:rRNA from 1 species
GAUGAACGCUGGCGGCGUGCCUAAUACAUGCAAGUCGAGCGAACAGACGAGGAGCUUGCUCCUCUGACGUUAGCGGCGGACGGGUGAGUAACACGUGGAUAACCUACCUAUAAGACUGGGAUAACUUCGGGAAACCGGAGCUAAUACCGGAUAAUAUAUUGAACCGCAUGGUUCAAUAGUGAAAGACGGUUUUGCUGUCACUUAUAGAUGGAUCCGCGCCGCAUUAGCUAGUUGGUAAGGUAACGGCUUACCAAGGCGACGAUGCGUAGCCGACCUGAGAGGGUGAUCGGCCACCCGGGAACUGAGACACGGUCCAGACUACUACGGGAGGCAGCAGUAGGGAAUCUUCCGCAAUGGGCGAAAGCCUGACGGAGCAACGCCGCGUGAGUGAUGAAGGUCUUCGGAUCGUAAAACUCUGUUAUUAGGGAAGAACAAAUGUGUAAGUAACUAUGCACGUCUUGACGGUACCUAAUCAGAAAGCCACGGCUAACUACGUG